UCCUAAUAGCUAAUGAAAGUAAUGUUUUGAAAACAUUUGAUAAAGUCUCAUCCCCUAUAAUAAU
rnacentral:tRNA from 1 species